rnacentral:rRNA from 1 species
UGUGCCAGCCGCCGCGGUAAUACGUAGGGUGCGAGCGUUGUCCGGAAUUAUUGGGCGUAAAGGGCUCGUAGGCGGUUUGUCGCGUCGGGAGUGAAACUCAGGGCUUAACUCUGAGCUUGCUUCCGAUACGGGCAGACUAGAGGUAUGCAGGGGAGAACGGAAUUCCUGGUGUAGCGGUGAAAUGCGCAGAUAUCAGGAGGAACACCGGUGGCGAAGGCGGUUCUCUGGGCAUUACCUGACGCUGAGGAGCGAAAGUGUGGGGAGCGAACAGGAUUAGAUA